UACAGAGACCUCAAGCGUUAUCCGGAAUCAUUGGGCGUAAAGCGUACCGAUAGGUGGUUUAGAAAGUCAGAAGUGAAAUCUCUCAGCUUAACUGGGAGACUGUCUUUUGAAACUUCUAAACUAGAGGGGCAAAGAGGAAGCUGGAACGAACGGUGUAGUAGUGAAAUGCGUUGAUAUCGUUCGGAACACCAAUAGCGUAGGCAGGCUUCUGGGUGCCACCUGACACUGCUAGGACGAAAGCGUGGGGAGCGAAUGGG
rnacentral:rRNA from 1 species